UAUACAGCUAGCUUACCUAUUAAACUAAUAUAACAACAUUAAAAACCUUUACAUAACUACAAAAAUACAAAUCAAAACAUUUUACCGCCUAAGUAUGUGAGACAGAAAAGGCAUUACAUCAAGCUACAGAAAAAGUACCGCAAGGGAACGCUGAAAGAGAAAUGAAACAAAUCAUUAAAGCAUAACAAAGCAGAGACUAACCCU
rnacentral:rRNA from 1 species